GUACAAUUAAAAUUGGAAAUAAUUUUUAAUAAGUUUGUUCACACGCACACAUAGUUAAAUAGUGUGUAUGGAAGUAAAAAUUAAUUACAUAUAAAUUAAAAUUGUUAAUCAAUUUUAUUAGUUUAGAUAUGGUUAGAAAACUUUCUGUAGUAUUAAUUAAUCAUAACUAUAUAUGACCAUCAAAGUGCAAUUCGUGACUAAAUUAAGCGCAGAUUCAAUAAAAAGUGUAUAACAAAUAUUUCCUAUCUUAGGUUAGCGUUAAUAACAAUUUGACUUUGAAAUUUCGAAUAAUAUAAACAAAAAACGGCUAACGGGCAAAUCAGAACGUCAGGUGUCAAAUUAAUUCUGUCCAAAACAGCUGUUUAAAUUCCAAUUAGAUUAGAAUUAUGAAAUGAAAUUAGACUUAUGGGGUACAUUAUCUAAAUAAUAUUAACAUAUUGAAAUAAUGUGAACUAUAUAGAUAUGUAUCUACACAUUGUCAGUGUUGUAUCACCGAAAGUGGGCUGGAUAAUUAUAUGUUAGCAAAAUUAUCAACUUGACUUUUACAAGCUGAAUAGAGGAAACUGAAAAAUCACUUGGAUGAGAAGCUGCUGUUUUUAUUGAUGUUGUAGCGGCAUAAAACAUUCCCCAAAUAAUUUUGAGGAAUGCCGCCGUUUUGUCAGUCCUUGGUCGGAUAAAUUUCAGGGUUCCGGUUCCAGUGAAAGCAACUAGAGUCUACUGUGACUAUCCAUCUAUGAUGAAACAUUUUAAGGUCAAUCAGAAAAAGGGAAUGUCCAAUCCAUAAUGGAUCUCAAACGAAACCGACAGAUCAAUAAGAGAAAGAAUGUAAUUCAGACAUAAACAGAAUUAACAUUUUAUUGUAUAAGUAAAUAGAAAAUUUUAAAGUUUGGUAAAAUAGAUAUUCGAGAUAUUCAUAGUAAUUGAAUGACAUACGACAAUAAUAAGCUAUGGGACACAAACUUAUGUAAAUUGUUCAAAGUGUUUAGAAGAUUUUACUUAUUUGUCAUGUAAAUAUAAUUUGUUUUACUUAUUAGAACAUGUUCAAAUUGCUGCUACGUGUCAUGCAAAUACAAUUUCCUGUUUUUGUUUCCACUGCCUUCUUUGUUAACAUAUUUGUAUUUGUGCAAUCGCGCGAAUGAAAUAUUUGUUCCAAGCACUAACCUCACACAUCCGGGUGUGACAUAACAAAAUGUUGCGGUUUGCUCCACAACAACCCAUGCAAGCAUUAGAAACGAAAUGAAUGAAGACGAAUUUAAGCCGACUACUACAAAGACAUAUUAGGACACAAGGUUAGAGGCCACGAAAUCACAAAAUGAUAAAAAACAUAACAAAAUGGUGGGGAUUAGCGCAGAAUAUUUGAUUGCUACGCGCAUUGAUUACUUUUGUUCGAGACACUAUAAAUACUUUCACUUAAAGACACAACUAUGCGCUGUUCUUUUACAGUUUUAGGCAUGCAAAUCUUACUUUUUCCUCAUUUUUUUCAAACAGCGGAGUUUUCGAUCACAAAUUGCCAGAAUUGGACGAAGUGAAAAUGGGUGUGGGCGACGAGGGCGAGUGGGUGGUGGUCGCUCCAGAGGGCUGUCGUAUUGAGUGCUGUUGCUUGAGCUGUUUUGUUGAAAUGAUUGCCUGCAUUUUGUAGCACACAUUUGAAUACUUCAUACUUCUGAUAUUUUGCAUUGCAUACGCUUUUUAAUUGCUGAAAAGCGAAAAUCGAGCAGCAAUGCUAACCGCAAUUAGACGAAUUAUUAACACCGAAUAAAUUGCAUUUGUGCGAGAACCGUUCAUGAGAAAACUAAUAACAUUUAACAAUGCGGGAUUGAUUUGACUUUUGGUUAACGAUUGGUUGGUUAGUUAGUUGAUUAGUUGCUUGGUUGCACGUACAAUAUAUUUAUGCUUAUAAGUAUGUACAUAUGUAU